rnacentral:lncRNA from 1 species
AGGAGCGGUGGUGACGGUGGGCGUACACACCGCUCUGCUAAGCUGAGAACCCAGAGCCCGUGCUCACCUGGGCCAAAACGGAUACUCGCCCAGGCUCUUUAAAGUGCUGUUUGUCUGUGCCUAGCUCAGCCAUCAUCGGAGAAGCUUCCUCCCAGCAGGUGGAGCCACCGUUUAGGCCAUAUGCAAAGGGUACAGUCUCACCACGCUCACAGCCUACUGGUAAUAAGAAGAGUGCAAACAACUAUAUUAGAAUGCUGUAAAAGUCGAGACCAGCAGGCUUCAACAGAGGAUGGAGGUUGUCUCAGACUUUCUCCACUUUAUCAGAAAAGAUGGAUAUGCCUGCAAUAUACUGAUGGACUGAUAGAGCUUAGAUGUCCUUCUUGUCUUCUGAAUGUCAUGACCUAGCCUUUGGACAUUUGCCCUGGAACUAUCUUAUGUGUCUUGUCAAGAAAACUCAGUUACCAGAGA